AUUGAACGCUGGCGGCAGGCCUAACACAUGCAAGUCGAACGAGUGGCGGACGGGUGAGUAAUGUCUGGGAAACUGCCUGAUGGAGGGGGAUAACUACUGGAAACGGUAUCUAAUACCGCAUACCCUCGGAUGUGCCCAGAUGGGAUUAGCUAGUAGGUGGGGUAACGGCUAACCUAGGCGACGAUCCCUAGCUGGUCUGAGAGGAUGACCGGCAAAACGGGAACUGAGACACGGUCCAGACGCCUACGGGAGGAAGAAGUGGGGAAUAUUGCAAAAUGGGCGCAAGCCUGAGGAAGCAAGGCCGGGGGUAUGAAGAAGGCCUUCGGGUUGUAAAGUACUUUCAGCGGGGAGGCGGUACCCGCAGAAGAAGCACCGGCUAACUCCGUGCCAGCAGCCGCGGUAAUAC
rnacentral:rRNA from 1 species